GUGUCAGCAGCCGCGGUAAUACGGAGGGUGCAAGCGUUGUCCUUGAUUUAUUGGGUUUAAAGGGUGCGUAGGCGGCCCGUUAAGUCAGCGGUGAAGGUUUCCGGCUCAACCGGGAAAUUGCCGUUGAUACUGGCGGGCUUGAGUGCCGAUGGGGUACAUGGAAUUUAUGGUGUAGCGGUGAAAUGCAUAGAUACCAUAAGGAACACCGAUAGCGAAGGCAUUGUACUGAUCGGCAACUGACGCUGAUGCACGAAAGCGUGGGUAGCGAACAGGAUUAGAUACCCUGGUAGUCCACGCCGUAAACGAUGAUUACUCGCUGUUAUCCCUAUAUGGGGUAGUGGCCAAGCGAAAGCGUUAAGUAAUCCACCUGGGGAGUACGCCGGCAACGGUGAAACUCAAAGGAAUUGACGGGGGUCCGCACAAGCG
rnacentral:rRNA from 1 species